GAUGAACGCUGGCGGCGUGCCUAAUACAUGCAAGUCGAGCGAACGGACGAGAAGCUUGCUUCUCUGAUGUUAGCGGCGGACGGGUGAGUAACACGUGGAUAACCUACCUAUAAGACUGGGAUAACUUCGGGAAACCGUAGCUAAUACCGGAUAAUAUUUUGAACCGCAUGGUUCAAAAGUGAAAGACGGUCUUGCUGUCACUUAUAGAUGGAUCCGCGCUGCAUUAGCUAGUUGGUAAGGUAACGGCUUACCAAGGCAACGAUGCAUAGCCGACCUGAGAGGGUGAUCGGCCACACUGGAACUGAGACACGGUCCAGACUCCUACGAGAGGCAGCAGUAGGGAAUCUUCCGCAAUGGGCGAAAGCCUGACGGAGCAACGCCGCGUGAGUGAUGAAGGUCUUCGGAUCGUAAAACUCUGUUAUUAGGGAAGAACAUAUGUGUAAGUAACUGUGCACAUCUUGACGGUACCUAAUCAGAAAGCCACGGCUAACUACGU
rnacentral:rRNA from 1 species